GAAGGCUAAUUUUACC
rnacentral:tRNA from 1 species